AACGAACGCUGGCGGCAUGCCUAACACAUGCAAGUCGAACGAGACCUUCGGGUCUAGUGGCGCACGGGUGCGUAACGCGUGGGAAUCUGCCCUUGGGUUCGGAAUAACAGUUAGAAAUGACUGCUAAUACCGGAUGAUGACUUCGGUCCAAAGAUUUAUCGCCCAGGGAUGAGCCCGCGUCGGAUUAGCUAGUUGGUGAGGUAAAGGCUCACCAAGGCGACGAUCCGUAGCUGGUCUGAGAGGAUGAUCAGCCACACUGGGACUGAGAAACGGCCCAGACUCCUACGGGAGGCAGCAGUGGGGAAUAUUGGACAAUGGGCGAAAGCCUGAUCCAGCAAUGCCGCGUGAGUGAUGAAGGCCUUAGGGUUGUAAAGCUCUUUUACCCGGGAUGAUAAUGACGGUAACCGGAGAAGAGGCCCCGGCUAACUUCGUGCCAGCCGCCGCAGUAAGAC
rnacentral:rRNA from 1 species